rnacentral:rRNA from 1 species
UGGGGAAUAUUGCACAAUGGGCGAAAGCCUGAUGCAGCGACGCCGCGUGAGGGAUGACGGCCUUCGGGUUGUAAACCUCUUUCAGCAGGGAAGAAGCGAAAGUGACGGUACCUGCAGAAGAAGCGCCGGCUAACUACGUGCCAGCAGCCGCGGUAAUACGUAGGGCGCAAGCGUUGUCCGGAAUUAUUGGGCGUAAAGAGCUCGUAGGCGGUUAGUCGCGUCUGCUGUGAAAACUCGAGGCUCAACCUCGGGCUUGCAGUGGGUACGGGCUGACUAGAGUGCGGUAGGGGUGACUGGAAUUCCUGGUGUAGCGGUGGAAUGCGCAGAUAUCAGGAGGAACACCGAUGGCGAAGGCAGGUCACUGGGCCGCAACUGACGCUGAGGAGCGAAAGCAUGGGGAGCGAACAGGAUUAGAUACCCUGGUAGUCCAUGCCGUAAACGUUGGGCACUAGGUGUGGGGUCCAUUCCACGGAUUCCGUGCCGCAGCAAACGCAUUAAGUGCCCCGCCUGGGGAGUACGGCCGCAAGGCUAAAACUCAAAGGAAUUGACGGGGUC